CGUGUAUCUAGAAUUCUUUGCCAGAGAGCUCUCGUGCCUCACCAUCUAUAAACCUCAGGAUUUUCCGCUGCCACUGCCUCCUUCUUCUAAGGGCUGUAGCAUUCACUGGGGAGGCUUCUCUAAAGGAAUUGGCAAUAUUUGUUGCAAGAGCAGGUGGUCCAGAAAUAUGUGGCACUCCAUUAAUUGUAAAUGGAACAAUACAGAUGUUGCUAUCUACAGAUGUGAUUGGAAUGAGUAUUACUAUGACCUGCAAUAAGGAUAAUUCUUUUCCUGAUGACACAAUGGAGAUGUCUACAGAAUGCCAAGGCUAGAAUGUGUGGGAUCCUCCUGUGAAACCUUGUUUGUCAUUUUUAUUCAUCCUUUGUUGGCUGUUGCUAGACUGGGCUUACCAGAAAUACUGUACACAAAAAUUAAAUGAAAACGAAGAGAUGCCUGUCGAAGUAAUAUCAACGCCUGUCAAAGUGAUGUCUGUUGAUGUAAAAUCAACACCUGUUGAAGUGCUGACUUUGGCCUACAAAACCCUAAAUGGCUCUGGUCCAACUUACCUCUCCAAACGUAUCUCCCCCUACAAGCCGUCCCGCAGAUUAAGAUCUUCGAGUGAGGCCCUACUCUUGUUCCCGCAGCCAUCACAGGUGUGGUUGGCGGGGACGAGAGACAUAGCUUUUUCGGUGGUGGCUCUGCGGUUGUGGAACUCCUUGCCAAGGGAGAUUUGGGAAGCCCCCUCACUCAUAUCUUUUAGGAAGCAGCUGAAGACCUGGAUGUGGGACCAAGCUUUUGGCCCAUCCUAGGAUAUGGGUUGAUAUGACCUGAUGGAUUCUUAGUAUUAAUAUGAAGUUGAACACGGACUGGCUCUGACUUUUGGCUCAGUUCUACUGCCCCUGUUGUAACAGUCACAAGGGUUUUAUUAUUUUAAUUGGAUUUGGAUAUCGACUUUUGUGUUUUACAUUUUGUAUUAUAUGUGGCAUCUAAUUCUGCCAUUGUGUAAGACCGCUCUGGGUCCCCCUGGGGAGAAGAGCGGUAUAUAAAUAAAAAAAAUAAACAAACAAACAAACAAAUAAAUAAGUAAUAUCAAAAUGGAAAGGUGGCAAAUGUACUAGAUAAGGGAAGCUGCAACAAUUCUGCUUUUGUCUAAUAUUAUGGAGAAGAGCAAAAUUUUGUUCCUUCCUCUCCUCUUCUGCUGUGUUCAUUGGGCGCAAAGUAUUUUUUCAGCUCUGUUGGCAGCAUUUGAAGUAAACAAAGGUCAUGGCAGAAGUAGGGGGUGAAGGUGAAAGAGACUGGGACAUUUUCAAAACAGCUUUUUAAGUAGGACAACAGAGGGUGAAAUGGAAAAUUAAAAAACUGUAUGAAUAUUUAUCAGAUUAUAUGCUACAAGAUUAUAUCAAUAAAAGGAGAGCAAAUUAUACCUGCAUAACCAAAUAAAAUACAUUUUAAAAUGUCA